UGACGCGUUGCGUUCGAAUCUUUUUAAAGUAGCUGGAAGAAUGGUUGCUUCAUCAAUUAUGAAUGGAGGUCCUGGUUUGCCUAUAUUUUCGCAUGCAGUUUAUCUGUAUUUCCAGCACGGGAACCCAGAUGAAAUUGGUCAGCACAUCAGAAAAGACGACGUCGUCGAUCAAAGUCAAAGAUAUACAUCAAUUCCAAUUCAUGCUCCUUACUCGUUCAAGGCAUCAACAAAAGACAAUGCCGUCACAGAAUAGAUAACGUAACAGAAGGGCCUCUUAGCGAAAAAUGCGGUCCUAAAUUUUAAUGCGCAUGCGCUACUUCCGCCAUGUUGGCAGCAAGAUAAACUUGCUACACUAAAUAAGGGUAGCAAUGUACAACUCAAAAAUCUUGGCGUUAUUACUUGAAAAGUUGAAACAUUUAUCUUGAGACGACCAAAUAAAAGCUGUGGUAAAUAAAGGCAAUCAAGACCUACCCUCAGCAUCGUGCGGAAAUGGGAACAUACAAUCAACAUAUUUUUAUGCUUUUUCAUGUACAACCAAUGUGUACAAUUCUAUCGAGACCUGUAUGAGAAAUGCUGUGCCGUGGCCGUGUGGUCAAGGUUAUUCGUAUUUAUUUAUUUGUAAAGAACGGAAGCGUAGAAGCGCUUAACGAACGUUAUCAGCUGUUCAUAUUGAAAAUAUUGUUGGUACCUAUGUCGAUAACAAUGUUUUAUUUGCAGUUGACCCUUGCAUGCGUAUCAGCACUUUAUCUCCUUCCUCAAAGUGAAUGAAACUGUCGCGAAAAUCAUUUGCCAAUUUAUUGUAUACUAUCUUUAAUUCAUAAUUAAAUACAUCCAUAAAAUGCAUUCCAUUUUGGCGUUCCCCGACAUCUACAACUAUAUACAAAGCUGAUUUAAUUAUUGCUUCCAUCACCAUUAGAGUUGCGUUCCAAGAAAAGUGAAAUAUCUAAAGAUUAUAACGUUUUUUUAAAGCUACGAAAGCAAUGAACAGCAAUGACAAAGUUUAACCAAACAGUGGAUAAUACGUGGGAAGAAACGAACUUUACAAAGUUAUAAACUGACUCACCAGACCACAAGACCAAGGCGUUACGCAAGUGUUGCUUUGCAAUCCAAUUUAGAUUGCAAAUGCGUAUACAUAUCACACAAAUAACCAUUGUAGUCAUUGUGUUGAUCUGAACUAAUACAUUAUUCGUGCAAAUGUUUAGCAGUGACAAUUUUUGUUCGCAGAGAACAUCAAUAUCCCGACAAUAUGACAAUGAUCUGGAAUUAAAAUUUGAAAAAAAAUGACAGUUAUUGAUAUACAAGAAAUAGAAUAUCACGCAAACAA